ACGAACGCUACGGCGGGCUUAACACAUGCAAGUCGAGCGCCUUCUUCGGAAGGAGCGGCGAACGGGUGAGUAACACGUGGAUUACCUACCCUUUGGUGGGGGACAACCGAGGGAAACUUCGGCUAAUACCGCAUAUGGCCUACGGGUCAAAGCCUUCGGGCGCCAAGGGAUGGGUCCGCGUCCCAUUAUUUAGUCCUUGUUGGUGGGGUAACGGCCUACCAAGGGUACGAUGGGUAGCUGGUCUGAGAGGAUGAUCAGCCACACUGGGACUGAGACACGGCCCAGACUCCUACGGGAGGCAGCAGUGGGGAAUAUUGGACAAUGGGCGCAAGCCUGAUCCAGCCAUGCCGCGUGUGUGAAGAAGGCCUUCGGGUUGUAAAGCACUUUCAGCGAGGAGGAAAGGGGUGCUGCUAAUAUCAGCGCCCUGUGACGUUACUCGCAGAAGAAGCACCGGCUAACUCCGUGCCAGCAGCCGCGGUAAU
rnacentral:rRNA from 1 species